UCUCUCUCUUUCUCUCCCGCUGAAACUCUUUAAAUUCAGAGUAUAUCUUAUAGUCGACAAAUGAAAGUCGAUGGAGAAUCGAAAAGAUUUCACACUUUGAUUUGGUGAUACUGCAAUCUGGAAGGUGAAGAUUAUAGCUGCUCUUGACAGAAAUAAUCAAAGCAUGGCUGCUGUUGAUAACCAAAUUAUGGAACAAGAGGCUGAAGUUGAAGAUUCAAAUGCUUAAGCAAAAUAUUUCAUUCUGAAAGAUUUGGUUAUGACAUUUCUUAUGUUUUGUUUUGUAAUGACGAUGUU